AUGAGAACAAGGGGAGAGACUGCAAUUAUUAAAUUCAGAAGCUUUAGAAAAGCUUUUGCCGCAGCGCCGAAGGAGCAAGCGUUUUCGUGAAUCUCUCAGGCAAAAAGACUCUUGUUUGACG
rnacentral:ncRNA from 2 species